GGCCCAUUCGUCUAGUGGCAGGAUCCCUGGCUCUCGAUCAGGUGACGCCGGUUCGAAUCCGGCAUGGGCUAC
rnacentral:tRNA from 1 species